AUUCCAGACUCCUACGGGAGGCAGCAGUGGGGGAUAUUGCACAAUGGGGGGAACCCUGAUGCAGCGACGCUGCGUGGGUGAAGAAGCGCCUCGGCGCGUAAAUCUCUAUCAGCAGGGAAGAAAAUGACGGUACCUGACUAAGAAGCCCCGACUAACUACGUGCCAGCAGCCGCGGUAAUACGUAGGGGGCAAGCGUUAUCCGGAUUUACUGGGUGUAAAGGGAGCGUAGACGGCGGUGCAAGCCAGAUGUGAAAGCCCGGGGCUCAACCCCGGGACUGCAUUUGGAACUGUGCUGCUAGAGUGUCGGAGAGGCAGGCGGAAUUCCUAGUGUAGCGGUGAAAUGCGUAGAUAUUAGGAGGAACACCAGUGGCGAAGGCGGCCUGCUGGACGAUGGCUGACGUUGAGGCUCGAAAGCGCGGGGAGCAAACAGGAUUAGAUACCCGAGUAAA
rnacentral:rRNA from 1 species